rnacentral:rRNA from 1 species
GCGUUGUUCGUGAAAACUCACAGCUUAACUGUGGGCGUGCGGGCGAUACGGGCAGACUAGAGUACUGCAGGGGAGACUGGAAUUCCUGGUGUAGCGGUGGAAUGCGCAGAUAUCAGGAGGAACACCGGUGGCGAAGGCGGGUCUCUGGGCAGUAACUGACGCUGAGGAGCGAAAGCGUGGGGAGCGAACAGGAUUAGAUACCCUGGUAGUCCACGCCGUAAACGGUGGGUACUAGGUGUGGGUUUCCUUCCUUGGGAUCCGUGCCGUAGCUAACGCAUUAAGUACCCCGCCUGGGGAGUACGGCCGCAAGGCUAAAACUCAAAGGAAUUGACGGGGGCCCGCACAAGCGGCGGAGCAUGUGGAUUAAUUCGAUGCAACGCGAA